UACCUAGGGUGCGAGCGUUAAUCGGAAUUACUGGGCGUAAAGCGUGCGCAGGCGGCUUUGCAAGACAGAUGUGAAAUCCCCGGGCUCAACCUGGGAACUGCAUUUGUGACUGCAAGGCUAGAGUACGGCAGAGGGGGAUGGAAUUCCGCGUGUAGCAGUGAAAUGCGUAGAUAUGCGGAGGAACACCAAUGGCGAAGGCAAUCCCCUGGGCCUGUACUGACGCUCAUGCACGAAAGCGUGGGGAGCAAACAGG
rnacentral:rRNA from 1 species